rnacentral:rRNA from 1 species
UUCCUACGGGGGGCAGCAGUCGGGAAUAUUGCACAAUGGAGGGAACUCUGAUGCAGUGACGCCGCGUGCAGGAAGAAGGUUUUCGGAUUGUAAACUGCUUUAGAUAGGGAAGAAGAAAAGACAGUACCUAUAGAAUAAGCUCCGGCUAACUACGUGCCAGCAGCCGCGGUAAUACGUAGGGAGCGAGCGUUAUCCGGAAUUAUUGGGUGUAAAGGGCGUGUAGGCGGGAAUGCAAGUCAGAUGUGAAAACUAUGGGCUCAACCCAUAGCCUGCAUUUGAAACUGUAUUUCUUGAGUGCUG